CGGGAGCAAUCCUGGUGGCGAGUGGCGAACGGGUGAGUAAUACAUCGGAACGUGUCCUGUAGUGGGGGAUAGCCCGGCGAAAGCCGGAUUAAUACCGCAUACGCUCUACGGAGGAAAGGGGGGGAUCUUAGGACCUCUCGCUACAGGGGCGGCCGAUGGCAGAUUAGCUAGUUGGUGGGGUAAAGGCCUACCAAGGCGACGAUCUGUAGCUGGUCUGAGAGGACGACCAGCCACACUGGGACUGAGACACGGCCCAGACUCCUACGGGAGGCAGCAGUGGGGAAUUUUGGACAAUGGGGGCAACCCUGAUCCAGCAAUGCCGCGUGUGUGAGGAAGGCCUUCGGGUUGUAAAGCACUUUUGUCCGGAAAGAAAACUUCGGCCCUAAUACGGCGGGAGGAUGACGGUACCGGAAGAAUAAGCACCGGCUAACUACGUGCCAGCAGCCGCGGUAAUACGUAGGGUGCAAGCGUUAAUCGGAAUUACUGGGCGUAAAGCGUGCGCAGGCGGUUCGCUAAGACAGAUGUGAAAUCCCCGGGCUUAACCUGGGAACUGCAUUUGUGACUGGCGGGCUAGAGUAUGGCAGAGGGGGGUAGAAUUCCACGUGUAGCAGUG
rnacentral:rRNA from 1 species